CCUACGGGUGGCAGCAGUGGGGAAUAUUGGGCAAUGGGCGCAAGCCUGACCCAGCAACGCCGCGUGAAGGAAGAAGGCUUUCGGGUUGUAAACUUCUUUUCUCAGGGACGAAGAAAGUUACGGUACCUGCGGACUAAGCCACGGCUAACUACGUGCCAGCCGCCGCGGUAAUCCGUAGGUGGCAAGGUUUAUCCGGUUUUACGGGGUGUAAAGGUCGUUGUGGCGGGAAAGAAAGUCAGAUGUGAAAACCAUGGGCUCAACCUGUGGCCUGCAUGUGAAACUGUUUUUCUGGAGUGCUGGAGAGGCAGGCGGAAUGUCUGGUGUAGCGGUGAAAUGCAUAGAUAUGAGGAAGAACACCGGUGGCGAAGGCGGUCUGCGGGCCAGCAACUGACGCUGAGGCGCGAAAGCGUGGGGAGCAAACAGGAUUAGAUACCCUUGUAGUC
rnacentral:rRNA from 1 species